rnacentral:rRNA from 1 species
GAUGAACGCUAGCGAUAGGCUUAACACAUGCAAGUCGAGGGGCAUCGAGGGUAGCAAUACCUGUCGGCGUCCGGCGCACGGGUGAGUAACGCGUAUGUAACCUGCCCGCAACAGAGGGAUAACCCGGCGAAAGUCGGACUAAUACCUCAUAAAACAGGGGUUCCGCAUGGGGCUAUUUGUUAAAGAUUUAUUGGUUGCGGAUGGGCAUGCGUACCAUUAGGUAGUUGGUGAGGUAACGGCUCACCAAGCCAUCGAUGGUUAGGGGUUCUGAGAGGAAGGUCCCCCACACUGGUACUGAGACACGGACCAGACUCCUACGGGAGGCAGCAGUGAGGAAUAUUGGUCAAUGGGCGAGAGCCUGAACCAGCCAAGUCGCGUGAAGGAUGACUGCCCUAUGGGUUGUAAACUUCUU